UUCUGCUUCUUUUCUUAGCAGAGACUGAAAUAGCGGCUUCAUGUCGGAGCUGCAGACACAAAGAUGGAGGCUGAGAUAUGGAGGAGGAAUAUCUCGGGGGGGGAGGAAAGAAAGAGAAGUCAGGUUUUUGUGUAACGCUGUUUCACUGUGAGGACAGGGGGUUGGCCGCGGCUCAGUUUGGAGCUGGAACUAAAGUCAUCGUGUUGGAUCCUAAUCGCACCGUCACGCCCCCCGCGGUGAGAGUGUUUCCCCCCUCAGAGAGAGAGUGUGAGGACAGCUCUGAAACCAGGUGUGAAGUCGAGAGGAAGAGGAGGAGGAAGAGGAAGACGUUGGUGUGUGUGGCGUCUGGUUUCUACCCGGAUACGGUGACUCUGUCCUGGUUGGUCGACGGGUAUAAUGUGACGGAUGGCGUGGCGACCGACAGUGAUGCAUUGUGGGACGGAGAACACUUCAGCACCAGCAGCCGGCUGACGGUGCUGCUCUCUGAUUGGUUCUCCCCGGAGAGGACGUUCACCUGCAGCGUCAGCUUCUGCCGCGGGAAUCGAACCGAGGAGCGAGCACACACCGUGGGGGGGGAGGAAGGACCCGGAGCUGCAGCGCUGAGAGAGAGAUAUCUGAGGGUCUCUCACGGCGCUCGGCUGUUCUACAUUCUCCUGAUCCUGAAGAGCUGCGGGUUCUCCGGGUUCCUGAUGGUUCUGAUGCUGAGGCUGCAGGUCUGCUCUGGGAAACAUCAGGACUGACAUCUGACCAGAGCUUCUUCUCAAAUGAAAGCUUCUUCACUUAAAACCAUUUCAUAUCCAGAGCUGAUGAAUACCUAACAAUGCUCUAUGAUUCUUUAGAAGUGCUUAUGCUGAAUUAUAAUCUCAAUAAAGUUUUUCUGAAGAUAUU